UACAGGGGGUGCAAACGUUGCUCGGAAUCAUUGGGCGUAAAGCGCACGUAGGCGGUUCGUUAUGUCGGAUGUGAAAGCCCUUGGCUUAACCGAGGAAGUGCAUCCGAAACUGGCGAGCUAGAGUACGAAAGAGGAUCGCGGAAUUCCCGGUGUAGAGGUGAAAUUCGUAGAUAUCGGGAGGAACACCGGUGGCGAAGGCGGUUCUCUGGGCCUGUACUGACGCUGAGGAGCGAAAGCGUGGGGAGCAAACAGG
rnacentral:rRNA from 1 species